UACAGAGGGUGCAAGCGUUGUUCGGAAUUAUUGGGCGUAAAGAGCUCGUAGGCGGUCUGUCGCGUCUGCUGUGAAAACUCAGGGCUUAACCCUGAGCUUGCAGUGGGUACGGGCAGACUAGAGUGCGGUAGGGGAGACUGGAAUUCCUGGUGUAGCGGUGAAAUGCGCAGAUAUCAGGAGGAACACCGGUGGCGAAGGCGGGUCUCUGGGCCGUAACUGACGCUGGAGGAGCGGAAAGCAUGGGGAGCGAAACACGG
rnacentral:rRNA from 1 species